rnacentral:rRNA from 1 species
GAUGAACGCUGGCGAGAUGCCUUACACAUGCAAGUCGUACGGGGAUUUUUAAUUCAAGUGGCGACGGGUGAGUAACACGUAAGAAUUUGCCUUUAGGAGGGGGACAACAACUGGAAACGGUUGCUAAUACCCCAUAUGCUUUCGAGUGAAAUGGAUUUUUCCGCCUAAAGAGAAGCUUGCGGCUGAUUAGCUUGUUGGUGAGGUAAUGGCUCACCAAGGCGACGAUCAGUAUCUGGUUUGAGAGGAUGAUCAGACACACUGGAACUGAGACACGGUCCAGACUCCUACGGGAGGCAGCAGUGGGGAAUUUUCCGCAAUGGGCGAAAGCCUGACGGAGCAAUCUCGCGUGGGGGAUGACGGCCUAUGGGUUGUAAACCUCUUUUUUCAGGGAGGAACAAAAUGACGUGUACCUGAAGAAUAAGCAUCGGCUAACUCCGUG